rnacentral:lncRNA from 1 species
GAAGAGUUGUCUUCAACUGGAAAGUCGGAGAUGUCGCCGCUGGAGAGAGAGAAGGAGAUAUUGCUGACGGGGGAGAGAGAAGAUUUAUCGUCGACUGGGGAGAGAAAGGAGACGUCGCCAGUGACGACUGGGCUGCCGGCAGUCGUCAGUGAAGUGGGGGAGAGGCGUGACUGAGAACUAUGGGAAGGAAAGCGAGGGAGAGAGAGAGACGUAGACGAAGAGAGGAAAGAGUAAAAUGAAAAAAUAAAUUAGAGAUUAGGGUU